rnacentral:rRNA from 1 species
AUGUUACUAUGGAUUUCAUUUCUGGUCUGCCAGUUUCAGGCCAAUUUGAUUGCAUAUUCGUGGUUAUUGACAAGUUCAGUUGCUGAGGUGUUCCUAGAUAAUGUGUACAAGUUGCAUGGGAUGCCAGAGUAUAUAGUAUCUGACAGGGACCCUGUUUUCACUAGUACAUUUUGGCAAACUUUGGUCAAAAGAACUGGCACCCAACUCAACAUGAGUUCUGCUUACCAUCCAGCUACUGAUGGACAGACUAAGAGAGUGAAUCAACAGGUUGAGUGCUAUCUCAGGAGUUUCAUCAGUGCACACCCUAAACAGUGGAGCAGGUGGCUUGCAAUGUGUGAAUUCUGGUAUAACACUAACUGGCACUCUGCAGUGGGCAAGACUCCCUUUGAGAUUUUGUAUGGCCACUCUCCUCGCUCCUUCGGCAGUCCCAGAGCUUUUCUGACACUGUAG